CAGAAAAUAGUUUAUUUAAAAAUAUUAAUUUUGGGAAUUAUUGAAGAAUAGUUAUAUUCUUUUCUGA
rnacentral:tRNA from 1 species